rnacentral:rRNA from 1 species
CUACGGGUUGCUGCAGUAAGGAAUAUUGCGCAAUGGAGGCAACUCUGACGCAGCCAUGCCGCGUGCAGGACUGAAGGCCUUAUGGGUCGUAAACUGCUUUUAUUUAGGAAUAAACUUUCGUACGUGUACGAGACUGAAGGUACUAAAUGAAUAAGCACCGGCUAACUCCGUGCCAGCAGCCGCGGUAAUACGGGAGGGUGCAAGCGUUAUCCGGAUUUAUUGGGUUUAAAGGGUGCGCAGGCGGACUAUUAAGUCAGAGGUGAAAUCCCGGAGCUCAACUUCGGAACUGCCUUUGAUACUGGUAGUCUUGAAUACGGUUGAAGUAGGCGGAAUGUAGCAUGUAGCGGUGAAAUGCAUAGAGAUGCUACAGAACACCGAUCGCGAAGGCAGCUUACUAAGCCGAUAUUGACGCUCAGGCACGAAAGCGUGGGGAGCGAACAGGAUUAGAUACCCUGGUAGUC